rnacentral:rRNA from 1 species
AGGGUUUGAUCCUGGCUCAGAGUGAACGUUGGCGGCAUGGAUGAGGCAUGCAAGUCGAGCGGUAAGGCUCCUUCGGGAGUACACGAGCGGCGAACGGGUGAGUAAUGAAUGGUUAACGUACCCUCAAGUGGGGAAUAACUUCGGGAAACCGGGGCUAAUACCGCAUAAGACCACAGUGUCGCAUGGCACAAGGGUCAAAGGGGGCUUCGGCUCUCGCUAAAGGAGCGGACCAUUUGGUAUCAGCUAGUUGGUGAGGUAACGGCUCACCAAGGCUACGACGUCUAGCCGGUCUGAGAGGAUGGCCGGCCACACCGGGACUGAGACACUGCCCGGACGCCUACGGGUGGCUGCAGUCGAGAAUCAUUGUCAAUGCGCGAAAGCGUGAACGUGCAAUGCCGCGUGUGGGAAGAAGGCGUUCUGCGUUGUAAACCACUGUCAGGGGCUAUGAAUAAGGUGCGGUUAAUACCCGUACUGAUGACGUAAACCCCAGAGGAAGUCGCAGCUAACUACGUGCCAGCAGCUGCGGUAAUACGUAGGCGGCGAACGUUACUCGGAAUCACUGGGCUUAGAGGGCGUGUAGGCGGCCUGUUAAGUGGGAGUUGAAAGCCGGCGGCUCAACCGUCGAAUUGGCUUCCAUACUGGCGGGCUAGAGUUGCGGAGGGGGUGCUGGAACUCGUGGUGGAGCGGUGGAAUGCGCAGAGAUCACGAGGAACACCAAUGGCGAAGGCAGGCACCUGGCCGAUGACUGACGCUGAGGCGCGAAAGCCAGGGGAGCAAACAGGAUUAGAUACCCUGGUAGUCCUGGCUGUAAACGAUGUGCACUAGGGAGGGGGGGCUCCUCGGCUCUCCCUCCCCAAGCGAAAGCGUUAAGUGCACCGCCUGGGGAGUAUGCUCGCAAGGGUAAAACUCAAAGGAAUUGACGGGUGCUCACACAAGCGGUGGAGCAUGUGGUUUAAUUCGAAUCAACGCGAAGAACCUUACCAGGGCUAGACAUCUACCUUAACCUGAGGGAAACCUCAGGGUGCGUAAAGCCAGGUAGUGCAGGUGUUGCAUGGCUGUCGUCAGCUCGUGUCGUGAGAUGUCAGGUUAAGUCCUCUAACGAGCGAAACCCUUGUCGCCAGUUGCCAGCGGGUAAUGCCGGGGACUCUGGCGAGACUGCCACGUAAGUCGGAGGAAGGUGGGGACGACGUCAAGUCAUCAUGGCCCUUAUACCCUGGGCUACACACGUGCUACAACGGCGGGUACAAAGGGUUGCCAACCCGUGAGGGGGAGCUAAUCCCAAAAAGCCCGUCCCAGUUCGGAUUGGAGUCUGCAACUCGACUCCAUGAAGUCGGAAUCGCUAGUAAUCGCGGGUCAGCCAUACCGCGGUGAAUAUGUUCCUGAGCAUUGUACACACCGCCCGUCAAGUCAUGGGAGCCGGUUUCACCUAAAGUCGUUAGCUUAACCGUAAGGAGGGCGGCGCCCAGGGUGAGGUCGGUGACUGGGACUAAGUCGGAACAAGGUA